UACGGAGGGGGCAAGCGUUGUUCGGAAUUACUGGGCGUAAAGGGCGCGCAGGCGGCUGCUCAAGUCAGGCGUGAAAGGCCUGGGCUCAACCCCGGGAAUUGCGCUUGAGACUGGGCUGGCUUGAGUGCGGGAGAGGAUGGUGGAAUUCCCAGUGUAGAGGUGAAAUUCGUAGAUAUUGGGAAGAACACCAGUGGCGAAGGCGGCUCACUGGCCCGCAACUGACGCUGAGGCGCGAAAGCGUGGGGAGCAAACAGG
rnacentral:rRNA from 1 species